UCAGUCUNUCUUAAAAGUUCGGGGCUUAACCCCGUGAUGGGAUGGAGACUGCCAAUCUAGAGUAUCGGAGAGGAAAGUGGAAUUCNUAGUGUAGCGGUGAAAUGCGUAGAUAUUAGGAAGAACACCAGCGGCGAAGGCGACUUUCUGGACGAAAACUGACGCUGAGGCGCGAAAGCCAGGGGAGCGAACGGGAUUAGAUACCCCGGUAGUCCUGGCCGUAAACGAUGGGUACUAGGUGUAGGAGGUAUCGACCCCUUCUGUGCCGGAGUUAACGCAAUAAGUACCCCGCCUGGGGAGUACGGCCGCAAGGCUGAAACUCAAAGGAAUUGACGGGGGCCCGCACAAGCGGUGGAGUAUGUGGUUUAAUUCGACGCAACGCGAAGAACCUUACCAGGUCUUGACAUUGAUGGACAGAACCAGAGAUGGUUCCUCUUCUUCGGAAGCCAGAAAACAGGUGGUGCACGGUUGUCGUCAGCUCGUGUCGUGAGAUGUUGGGUUAAGUCCCGUAACGAGCGCAACCCCUAUCUUAUGUUGCCAGCACUUCGGGUGGGGACUCAUGAGAGACUGCCGCAGACAAUGCGGAGGAAGGCGGGGAUGACGUCAAAUCAUCAUGCCCCUUAUGACCUGGGCUACACACGUACUACAAUGGGAGUUAAUAGACGGAAGCGAGAUCGCGAGAUGGAGCAAACCCGAGAAACACUCUCAGUUCGGAUCGUAGGCUGCAACUCGCCUACGUGAAGUCGGAAUCGCUAGUAAUCGCAGGUCAGCAUACUGCGGUGAAUACGUUCCCGGGCCUUGUACACACCGCCCGUCACACCACGAAAGUCGGAAGUGCCCAAAGCCGGUGGGGUAACCUUCGGGAGC
rnacentral:rRNA from 1 species